AGAACAAACGCUGGCGGCGUGCCUAAUACAUGCAAGUCGAACGAGGAAGUACCUUCGGGUAUUGUACUAGUGGCGUACGGGUGAGUAACGCGUGGAUAAUCUUCCUUAAGGUGGGGAAUAACUAGUCGAAAGAUUAGCUAAUACCGCAUAAGACCACAGGCCCUUCGGGGCAAGGGGUUAAAGGCUUCGGUCGCCUUAAGAUGAGUCUGCGCCCGAUUAGCUAGUUGGUGAGGUAACGGCUCACCAAGGCGACGAUCGGUAGCUGGUCUGAGAGGACGGCCAGCCACACUGGGACUGAGACACGGCCCAGACUCCUACGGGAGGCAGCAGUAGGGAAUAUUGCACAAUGGAGGAAACUCUGAUGCAGCGACGCCGCGUGAGUGACGAAGGCCUUGGGUCGUAAAGCUCUGUUCUCAGGAAAAAGAAAGUGAUUGUACCUGAGAAGAAAGGACCGGACUAACUUCGUGCCAAGCAAGCCGUAC
rnacentral:rRNA from 1 species